UACGUAGGGUGCGAGCGUUGUCCGGAAUUAUUGGGCGUAAAGAGCUCGUAGGCGGUUUGUCGCGUCUGCUGUGAAAACUGGAGGCUCAACCUCCAGCCUGCAGUGGGUACGGGCAGACUAGAGUGCGGUAGGGGAGAUUGGAAUUCCUGGUGUAGCGGUGGAAUGCGCAGAUAUCAGGAGGAACACCGAUGGCGAAGGCAGAUCUCUGGGCCGUAACUGACACUGAGGAGCGAAAGCAUGGGGAG
rnacentral:rRNA from 1 species